GAACAACAGCCUAGUCAAGCACUUCCUGAAUUCCUGACCUAAAUUCCUGAGACAUAAUACACUGUUGCUUUCUGCCAGUUUUGAGGUGGUUGGUUAUGCAGCCAUAACUGAAACAAGUGGGCAGAGUGGGAGAUAAUAAACAAAUCUAAAAUAUGGCAAUGACCAGGGCUAUAAGGAGGCAAAAUAGUGCAGUAACUAAAAGCUGUUGGAGCCAGACAGCCUGCAUUCACAUUUCAGCUCCAACUUUGUGACUUUGGCACAAUUUGUUUAACCUCCCUGUGCCUCAAUUUCAUCAUCCAGAAAACAGGGUGCCAUUGGUUAUAGUUUGCAUCCUCUGAUUGGCUGCCCACUGGGAAGAAUUGAAGAGAGUUCUUCCCACUUCCCUAUCCUUAAAAGUUAUACAAGACAAGGAUCUUCCUCAUCUCAAAGGGCAAAAAAACUGAAGGCAAUGGCUUUUCUGCCCCAGAGUGAUCCACAAGUAUGGAGUGGGCCUCCCUAUGUUGCUCACACUGGUCUUGAACUCCUGACCUCAAGUGAUCCUCCCAUCUAAACCUACCCAAAGUGCUGGGAUUACAGGUAUGAACUACCACUCCCGGACAAAUCAAGGUGUUAAGCACAGUUCAGGACUGAUACAAAAAGUACGGUUCAAGACAGAGAUGACAGAGGAUGACAUGUUCCCCUUCUUCUAUGCCUAGCCCUCCUUCAAGUCCAGAUUGAAGUGCCAUCUCUGCUUUAAACCUUUCCUUGCUUCUUUGCCCUCCCCUCCCAAACACUGAUGUUCCCCAAGGCUGAGCUCUGGAUCACAGAUUUUCUGUUUUGUGCAUUCUUUUUUUUUUUUUUUUAAGAUGGAGUCUUGCUCUGUCACCCAAGCUGGAGUGCAGUGGUGCAAUCUUCACUCACUGAGACCUUUGCCUCCCAGGUUCAAGUGAUUCUCCUACCUGGGAGAGAAUCACUGGGAUUCUCUUGGUAGCUGGGAUUAUAGGAGUGUACCAUCACAUCUGGCUAAUUUUUGUAUUUUUAGUAGAGACAGGGGUUCAUCAUGUUCAAUGAAUAACAAGUGAAUGUUCAGUCCGACGAGCAUGGAAGGUUGGUUAGAAAGAGGAGCUGCUGGUGUGGCUCCUGUGAGCAGAGGUAGGUAGGGCACAGUAGUCAGGCAGUUAGAAGCCAAGCUGAGGAAUCGACACUUGAUUUCAUAGGUCCGCAAGGGAUCUUUGAGGAUGUUUAAUCAGAAAUGGUCAAAGAGGCAUUUACAAAAUAAACCACAGAAAGAUCUGUGUUUUCA
rnacentral:lncRNA from 13 species